UACGUAGGGUGCGAGCGUUGUCCGGAAUUAUUGGGCGUAAAGAGCUUGUAGGCGGUUUGUCGCGUCUGCUGUGAAAAUCCGGGGCUCAACCCCGGACUUGCAGUGGGUACGGGCAGGCUAGAGUGUGGUAGGGGAGACUGGAAUUCCUGGUGUAGCGGUGGAAUGCGCAGAUAUCAGGAGGAACACCAAUGGCGAAGGCAGAUCUCUGGGCCGUAACUGACGCUGAGGAGCGAAAGCAUGGGGAGCGAACCGG
rnacentral:rRNA from 1 species